rnacentral:rRNA from 1 species
GGCUCACCUAGGCGACGAUCCGUAACUGGUCUGAGAGGAUGAUCAGUCACACUGGAACUGAGACACGGUCCAGACUCCUACGGGAGGCAGCAGUGGGGAAUAUUGGACAAUGGGCGAAAGCCUGAUCCAGCCAUGCCGCGUGUGUGAAGAAGGUCUUCGGAUUGUAAAGCACUUUAAGUUGGGAGGAAGGGCAGUAAGUUAAUACCUUGCUGUUUUGACGUUACCAACAGAAUAAGCACCGGCUAACUUCGUGCCAGCAGCCGCGGUAAUACGAAGGGUGCAAGCGUUUAUCGGAAUUACUGGGCGUAAAGCGCACGCAGGCGGUCUGUCAAGUCGGAUGUGAAAUCCCCGGGCUCAACCUGGGAACUGCAUUCGAAACUGGCAGGCUAGAGUCUUGUAGAGGGGGGUAGAAUUCCAGGUGUAGCGGUGAAAUGCGUAGAGAUCUGGAGGAAUANCCGGUGGCGAAGGCGGCCCCCUGGACAAAGACUGACGCUCAGGUGCGAAAGCGUGGGGAGCAAACAGGAUUAGAUACCCUGGUAAUCCACGCCGUAAACGAUGUCGACUUGGAGGUUGUGCCCUUGAGGCGUGGCUUCCGGAGCUAACGCGUUAAGUCGACCGCCUGGGGAGUACGGCCGCAAGGUUAANAACUNCAAANUGAAUUGACGGGGGCCCGCACAAGCGGUGGAGCAUGUGGUUUAAUUCGAUGCAACGCGAAGAACCUUACCUACUCUUGACAUCCAGAGAACUUUCCAGAGAUGGAUUGGUGCCUUCGGGAACUCUGAGACAGGUGCUGCAUGGCUGUCGUCAGCUCGUGUUGUGAAAUGUUGGGUUAAGUCCCGCAACGAGCGCAACCCUUGCCAUUAGUUGCUACGAAAGGGCACUCUAAUGGGACUGCCGGUGACAAACCGGAGGAAGGUGGGGAUGACGUCAAGUCCUCAUG